rnacentral:rRNA from 1 species
UACGGAGGGUGCAAGCAUUAAUCGGAUUUAUUGGGCGUAAAGGGCGCGUAGGCGGGAAGAUAAGUCAGAUGUGAAAUCCCGGGGCUCAACCUCGGAACAGCAUUUGAAACUAUUUUUCUAGAGGCUAGAUGGAGAAAACGGAAUUCCACAAGUAGCGGUGAAAUGCGUAGAUAUGUGGAAGAACACCGGUGGCGAAGGCGGUUUUCUAAUUUAGACCUGACGCUGAGGCGCGAAAGUAAGGGGAUCAAACAGG